GCCGGAGUAGGCCCCGUACUGGUUCACCCACCGGGAUAGGAAGAAGAUGCAGAUCACCUGGGGAGUCAUCAUUGAAUACACGACGUCUGCGCUGAAGAUCCAGAACAGAUGAUGUUCUUGAAGAUAUUUCGUCCCACUUGGGAAGCAACAGACAGAAGUGCAGAGUCGACCGAGGACAUCACGGACGCAGCGAGUGCUCCUAUGGCGACCAGUGAGAUGUAGACGGGGCAAAGAUGCUGGAGGGCGAUCGGCAGGAUCAUACCAGCUUUGCCCUGCUCGUACGGGCUGGGAGUCCCGUAGGUGGUCUGGUUCCAAUCUGACAGACGUUAAGAACGAAAUGUUGAAGAGGAUGAAGGUUUGAGCAGAGCUCCUCACAGCCAACUGUCCCAACAGUCAGAACCAGGGAUGUUUACAGGAGUCACCUGUUCCACCAGCUCCUCCCAGCUCCACACACCUGAUUAGCAUCUUACAGCUGCAGCACACAGCUGUUGGUACGUUACCACCCAGCGCUGCAUGUUCAAACUUACAGGACGAUGUGAUGCAGCAAAAUUUGUCUCUAAGAAAGAAGAUUUCACACUAUCUGACAGUGUCACAUAUGUGUGCAUUAUAUGCAGCUGUAAGUGUUUAACUUUGUUGCUGCAGUGACCGAGCUGCACCAUGUUCAUGUCAGUGUGUUUUACAUAUUUUCAUCUUUUUAACUUUGGGAUCUGCUCUAGAAUCUUAAAAAAGUCUGAUUUAAUCUCUUAAAAAUACAUUUUCAAUCACUCGAAUAAUU